GACGAACGCUGGCGGCGUGCUUAGCACAUGCAAGUCGAACGGUAAGGCCCUUCGGGGUACACGAGUGGCGAACGGGUGAGUGACACGUGGGUGAUCUGCCCUGCACUUCGGGAUAAGCCUGGGAAACUGGGUCUAAUACCGGAUAGGACCACUGCCUGCAUGGGUGGUGGUGGAAAGCUUUUGCGGUGUGGGAUGGCCCGCGGCCUAUCAGCUUGUUGGUGGGGUGAUGGCCUACCAAGGCGACGACGGGUAGCCGGCCUGAGAGGGUGACCGGCCACACUGGGACUGAGAUACGGCCCAGACUCCUACGGGAGGCAGCAGUGGGGAAUAUUGCACAAUGGGCGCAAGCCUGAUGCAGCGACGCCGCGUGAGGGAUGACGGCCUUCGGGUUGUAAACCUCUUUCAGCACCGACGAAGCGCAAGUGACGGUACCUGCAGAAAAAGCACCGGCUAACUACGUGCCAGCAGCCGCAGUAA
rnacentral:rRNA from 1 species